rnacentral:rRNA from 1 species
CGGGACCGCUCGGUCUCGAGCCGCUGGGGAUUCGUCCCAGGCGAGCGCCCGCCAGAGUUAAACCAAACUCUUGUUAUUAAACCGGUCGUCUGAGUUAAAAUUUUGAAUAAAUCAAAACUUUCAACAACGGAUCUCUUGGUUCUCGCAUCGAUGAAGAACGCAGCGAAAUGCGAUAAGUAAUGUGAAUUGCAGAAUUCAGUGAAUCAUCGAAUCUUUGAACGCACAUUGCGCCCCUUGGUAUUCCGAGGGGCAUGCCUGUCCGAGCGUCAUUACACCACUCAAGCUAUGCUUGGUAUUGGGUGCCGUCCUUAGUUGGGCGCGCCUUAAAGACCUCGGCGAGGCCUCACCGGCUUUAGGCGUAGUAGAAUUUAUUCGAACGUCUGUCAAAGGAGAGGACUUCUGCCGACUGAAACCUUUUAUUUUUCUAGGUUGACCUCGGAUCAGGUAGGGAUACCCGCUGAACUUAAGCAUAUCAAUAAGCGGAGGAAAAGAAACCAACAGGGAUUGCCCUAGUAACG